rnacentral:rRNA from 1 species
GAUGAACGCUGGCGGCGUGCUUAACACAUGCAAGUCGAACGGUGAAGGCGGAGCUUGCUCUGCUGGAUCAGUGGCGAACGGGUGAGUAACACGUGAGCAAUCUGCCCCUGACUCUGGGAUAAGCGCUGGAAACGGCGUCUAAUACUGGAUACGAGCUGCGAAGGCAUCUUCAGCAGCUGGAAAGAGUUGCGGUCAGGGAUGAGCUCGCGGCCUAUCAGCUUGUUGGUGAGGUAAUGGCUCACCAAGGCGUCGACGGGUAGCCGGCCUGAGAGGGUGACCGGCCACACUGGGACUGAGACACGGCCCAGACUCCUACGGGAGGCAGCAGUGGGGAAUAUUGCACAAUGGGCGAAAGCCUGAUGCAGCAACGCCGCGUGAGGGACGACGGCCCUCGGGUUGUAAACCUCUUUUAGCAGGGAAGAAGCGAAAGUGACGGUACCUGCAGAAAAAGCGCCGGCUAACUACGUG